ACCUGACAGCAGCAGUGAGAAGGGAGGAUUAAAUACAACAUUGUUCUUCUGCUUAGGUCACUGAUUUUGGUGAACGUGUAGCUGAGGUGAAGUUAAUCUUUGAUGUCCAGGAAACUGAGUGUGCGAAGAAUUCUAGUUCCAACCCAGCACAAUGUACUCUGAAGCCCAUCUCAGAUGCUGAAACAGCCACUUGUACAGGUGUAGUUAGACUUGAAAAAGAGAUUGUUCAAAACGUCAAUGUAGAAUGCAUGGAUACAAAUGUUACAACACCAGCAAUGCCCACAUCUACCCCUCUAGACACAACAGUGACCAAAUCAGCCUCCACACCAACCACAUCAGAUACCACACUGACCAUAACAACUACCACAGUCACCAGUCCAAUCACAACAGUCACCAGGAAAACUACACCAAACACAACAUGGGCUACACCAACGAGAAUGACGAUAACAACAACUACUACAAGAAGACAACCACCAUCCUCAUCAUCGUCAUCAUCAUCAUCAUCAUCAUCAUCUGAAGACAGUGGAUCAUCGGAGGAAUUUCAGAAAGUGUUUUGCUGGGGAAGAUAUAGGAACUGCUGGAGGAGACAAAGUUGGAGAAGAGGCAAUUGGUGGAAGAGGAGGUUGGACCGUUUCCUGAAAAGGCUUUUAUACAGAAGACAAAGGAUUUUAAGUCAGGUCCAUUUACGUAGGAGUAUUUAUGCUACAACUACAGCUCGCAAGGCAGAGGAAAUUUGAGAGAAGUAAAAUGCUUUGAUUUCAUCAUGGAACGAUGGAUAAAGAUAGCAAAACAAAGAAAAUCUGUCAAAAUGAUGGAAGUUCUUACAUUUUAAACAUAGUAUUUCAUGUUUAAUUGCAAAUGAUUUAAUGUUUUAUGCAAUAGCAUUCAACAGGAAUUUACAAUAUUAUUAAUCAUCAUGAGUGUGCAAAAUAACUGAUUUGAGAUAUGUUCAAUCCCAUUUGCCCCAAAUAUGAAAAAGAAACAGAAUAAUUAAAUUGGGUUGAGCUGUGUUUGUCUUCAGGGCACUAGCUGCCUGCUGGUCAAACGACAGCAAUUGUGCAAUUAGAUGGGGUACCUCCAUAUGAAAUUCAUAUGAUCAUUACUGACAUCUUCCUGCCAAUAUUUGUAUAACAUCCAUUUAUAUCUACAUUGCCAUAAGUUGUAACUUAAUGCAUGAGAGGUCUGGAACAGGCUCAGAGGGACUCAAAUCAUAUCACAUCGGGUUGUUACUUCUCUGUUGUUUAAAUAGAGCCACUAACCUCUGGAAAUCUGACUCUGUACCUUCAGAACUUUGACUGUCCAAGAGCCUUCAAGAGAGUCAGUUUGUAUUUUCUAGCAGUAGAUGCUGGGAUGUUCACUGAUGCUGAAUGUAAGAAUCGUCUCCAUUUCUGGUGUAGCCUUUGUCAUUUCCACGCAAUCAGGGUUGUUGUGAUUGGCUGACUACCGUGGGGACAUUAUUUUCUCUGGCUAAUGCAGAGCAAAGUGUUGGGGGAGAUGUGAAAUGGGAUGGAGUCCCCUCUGGAACAGCACAUAAGACACAGAAACUGAAUUAGGCCAUUUGGCCCACCGAGUCUGCACCGUUUUCAUAGUUAUCAUACCCCUACACCUCUCUGGAUAUAAACUAUCUCAUAGCUGUUUGAAGCCACUUAUCAAAUAUGUUUUAACCCAAUUUCUUGCAUGGAAUGCAAUUUGGUGUUAGGGAUUAAUACAGCAAUAUAUUGAAACACUUUGG